CCGAGUUAUUACUCCAAACCCUUUGUGAACCUUACCUUUUUGUUGCUCGGCGCACCGCGGGCCGCGGCUUCGGCCCGUCCCGCAGCGCGCCAGAGGACCCAACUCUUCAAUUUAUAGCGUACCUUCUGAUUUACAAAAACAAACAAGUUA
rnacentral:misc_RNA from 1 species